UUGUGGUUUAGUGUUUUGUUGGGGUUGUUUUCCUGUUUUUGCCUCCCUGUCUGUGUUUUCCCCGGUCCUGUGUGCCUGAUGUGUCUCCUGUUUCCGGUAAGCGUCUGUAUGUUCCGUUUCCUGUUUUAUUUGAUAGUCAGCUUCCUGUCUGGUCUGGUCUUGUCUUGUCUAGCUUCACUUUGUGUGUCUGAUUGUCCGGCCCCUCCCUGAUGUGAUUCACUUGAUGUCUCACCUGUUCCCCAUUACCUCGUUACCUCUUGUACUUAACCUCUGUGUUUGCCUUGUCAUGUGCCAGAUCGUUUUUGUUCCCCUUCGAGGGGAACUCGAACUGCGUCGGUUACGACACUAAGG